UUCCUUUUUUCUCUGAGACCUGCAGACGGACGGGAUAGUGUUGAAGUGAAUUUUUGUGACGAAGCUUAGUUUUCAGCUAAGCUAAAAGUAAGCUGAGAGGAAUUGUUUCUUUAAGAAGCUUUGGAAAACGUGUUUCCCCCAAUGUGGUGCCUGGAAGGAAGGAGUUGCUACUGUUACUUUGAGCCACUCCCUGACGCUGUCAGAGAUUCUAAAGAAAAUAAUACAGAGCGAGCCACUGCAUGUAACCUGAGUAACACUGUCUAGGCUGAGUGCCCACAAACAGAAGUUAAUAUUAGAACCAUGACAAAUACAGGAAGGCAACAGAGGAGGCUUUCAUGGACCUUUCAUGACAGUGAUCAACUCAACUCUGAGCAUAAGGAAGAAGCCACAGCACCUCGCUCCAGUUGGGGCAAAUCUCCAGUGAGGGAGCAAAGCUGCACUGAAGUGGAAACUACAUGUUUGCUGACAUUGUGUCCACAUAUGCACCAGUGUGACUGAAGUUAAUUGAAAGCAAAGCCUAACAGACUCCAAAGCCAAUGUCUUUACACACAGAAAAUUUAAAAGAUUUGACUUCAGUAAAGACAAGUUGUGUUAAGUCCUUUCUACACUACGCUGGUCAAGUCUCAUCUGGAGAACCGAGCUCAUUUCUGGGGACUGAUUUAAUGAGAGCAUCGUUGUCCUAGAGAGCACCAGGAUGUCUGUGGAUAACAUGGAAGAAAGGGCUUAAGGAGAUUGCUGAAACUGAGGGCCGGGCUUGGAUCCUCACUGGGAUGCUCGCAUUCAGCACAUGCCAUGUUAUACUGCAAGGCACACCAUUGACAUGCAGCACACCUCCCGGAACAUCAGGUUUCUCUGAUGAUAAGAAAUAUAAUAAUAAUUAUUAUUUUAAAUUAUUUUAUUGAAGUCAUUUUUGCUUAUAAUAUAAU
rnacentral:lncRNA from 1 species